rnacentral:sRNA from 1 species
CCGAUAUUGGAGCCCCUGCGCUCCGGCUGC